rfam:Callithrix jacchus chromosome 4, whole genome shotgun sequence
ACAAAGGCUCUUUUAAGAGCCGCCCACUUUUACCCGAAAAUAGCUGU